CAAAAGUCACGUGUAAACAAAAAAUCUCUGUGUAGUGAUAUUUGACACAUUUAUAUGAUAAACAAAUGACUGAGCUGAACCAUUAGUGUUAAUUUAGAAAAUAAGGGAACACAGAAUAAAUGUGUAAAAACCAUGGAGCUAUGAAAUGUGUUCAAAGUAUUAAAAUUUCAAAGAACUUAUUGUGUUAAAAUUGGGAUUUUUUACCAUGAGGAGUGACAUCGCAACAGGAUACUCGGGGUUUUCUAAAUUACGGAAAAAUGAAUCACACUUCGUACCCCGAAAAUUUAACCACAUAUGUAAAAACGUCUCAGCUUCGAAACAAGCCAUCAUACAUAUACAAGUUUACGAUAUGGGCUGAGCAACAGAAGAAAACGUUACCAUUACGGCCUAUGGAAUAACAAUUGCGCAUAUUGCCCCAUCUUGUGAGAAAGGAUCCAGAGAUAUCUAAAGAUAAUUUCACCUUGUACACCACAGAAAAUUGUUAAAAUGAUGUUCCAGACAUAUCAUUACUUUUAAAUAUGAGAUGACAAACUAAAGGUUUUAAAAAGUCCUGAAUAACUGAAAUGGACAAAAAUACACAGAUUUAUUCAGAAUGUCAUACCGAUGAAGAUCACCUAAAAAUAUUUGGAAACAUCAGAACCAUGGAUUUCAAUAUGGGACAAUACCCCUAAUGCGCCUUGAAAUGAGGAACACAAAAGUCACGUGUAAACAAAAAAUCUCUGUGUAGUGAUAUUUGACACAUUUCUAUGAUAAACAAAUGACUGAGCUGAACCAUUAGUGUUAAUUUAGAAAAUAAGGGAACACAGAAUAAAUGUGUAAAAACCAUGGAGCUAUGAAAUGUGUUCAAAGUAUUAAAAUUUCAAAGAACUUAUUGUGUUAAAAUUGGGAUUUUUUACCAUGAGGAGUGACAUCGCAAAAGGAUACUCGAGGUUUGCUAAA